ACGUAGGGGGCCAGCGUUGUUCGGAAUUACUGGGUGUAAAGGGUUCGUAGGCGGUGUGGCAAGUCGGGAGUGAAAUUUCUGGGCUUAACCCAGAACCUGCUUCCGAAACUGCUGUGCUGGAGUGUGGGAGAGGCGCGUGGAAUUGCAGGUGUAGCGGUGAAAUGCGUAGAUAUCGGGAGGAACACCUGUGGCGAAAGCGGCGCACUGGACCACAACUGACGCUGAGGCGCGAAAGCUAGGGGAGCAAACAGGA
rnacentral:rRNA from 1 species